GUCCUGUUGACUAUGAUUUCAGGUCUAACCUGCCCAGUGAUACGUUAAACGGCCGCGGUAUUUUGACCGUGCAAAGGUAGCAUAAUCAUUAGUUUUUUAAUUGAAAGCUAGAAUGAAAGGUUUGAUGAAAAAAGGACUGUCUCUGUGAGAAUUUAUUAGAAUUUUAUUUUUAAGUCAAAAAGCUUAGAUUUAAGUAGAAGACGAGAAGACCCUAUAGAGUUUGAUAUUUCAUGGAUUCUGGGAUUUGAGGAUUGGUAAAAUUUUAGUAUUUAUGGGGGUAUUUUAUUGGGGUGAUAGGAAAAUUUAAUGAACUUUUUUUUCACGAGUACAUUUAUUUAUGAGUAAAUGAUCCUAGAAUAGAGAUUAUAAGAUUUAAUUACCUUAGGGAUAACAGCGUAAUUUUUUUAAAGAGUUCUUAUCGAAAAAAAAGAUUGCGACCUCGAUGUUGGAUUAAAAUUAAUUAUUGGUGUAGAAGCUGGUAAAUUAGGUCUGUUCGACCUUUGAAAUUUUACAUGAUCUGAGUUUAGACCGGUGUAAG
rnacentral:rRNA from 1 species